rnacentral:lncRNA from 1 species
GUGAAGAUGUGUGCAGCAAACCACAGAUGGAGGGAGCAGGAAGAAAUGGGGCCGUUUCUAAAGAAAUUAGAUGCCGGAGGAGAAGAAGGUUCUAAGUCCCAUGGAGCUGAAGUUCCAGCUGUUGAGAGCUCCCCAAAGAGGCUGCUAGGAAUGGAACUCCAGUCCUCUGGAAGAACAAGUGCUUUAAACCAUUAAGCAUCUCUCCGACUGCAGGAACUGUUUGAAACCUUUGCAGUGGCCAAGGUAGAUUAUCCAAUUGUUUGUUUGUACGUCAGGCUUUAUUGAACUAUGCCCUGGAAAGGGUGACAUCUGCUGCG